UCCUUCUCUUCUAUUUAUCUCUCUACACGCCCUGACCCUCUCCCUCUCUUUCCUCGAUCUGCCGGAACAGGACGCACGCCGCCGUCAAAACGGUGCGCCGCCGCUGCUGCCUCCGUCGUCCUCGCCGGUGGCUCACGGCCAGGAGCCGUCGACCCCGACAACCAGAACGAAACCACGGCUCCGCCGCCUUCCGUCGACCAUCGGCAGCCACCACGGCUGCCGUCCCCUGACCUCGACUCAUACACACAGCAGGGGUUCAAGCCUCAAAACAGUCACACAUAGCAUAUAGGAUUUAUCACAAUUUCAAAUACUGUAAAUUUCAGUUCAUAUGUAACCUAUCUUGUAACUGUAAAUUUGUGAAUUUGUUACUCAUUUUCUACAUAUAUCAAAGCAUUUGUAAUCCUUUGUUGA